rnacentral:rRNA from 1 species
GAUCAUUACCAAACGAUUCUUUGGAUUCAGUUAGUAGCUUUUCGAUGCGGCGCAAGCCAAAUCGAGAAGUAGUUGGUUGACCGUAAUUAGGAGAAAUCCUUCCAGCUGCACUGAUUGGAUUCAGAGUUUAAUCAACCCCCUGUGAACUAUAAACCCGUACUGUUAUUGUCUUUUGGGUGGUACUGAAGCUGUUUACAGUCGAUGUGCUGCCCAGAAGCGAUAGCGCUUUAUUGAACUACUAAACGAAUUAUAUCUAUACGCAAAAUCUCUUUAUUAUUUAAUAAUAAUAAUUGACAACUUUUAACAGUGGAUCUCUAGGCUCGUGGAUCGAUGAAGAGCGCAGCAAAAUGCGAUACGUAAUGUGAAUUGCAGAAUUCAGUGAAUCAUCGAAUCCUUGAACGCAAAUUGCGGUGUUGGGUAUUCCCGGCACCAUGCUUGGUUGAGUGUCACUUAAUCUAACAAAAUUCAAUUUAUUUUGGGUAUUGUUACAGAUGAGGUUACGAGGCGUCUAUUUAAUAGAACUUCGAACCUUUAAUGACUAGCAAGACGCAUGACUUUUGAAGUUCAUUGCAGCUACUUGUGUGGCAAUAUUGUUUCGACAAUUUAAAGCGCAUGUUGGCUCAGUGGAUGUUAAUUCUUAAAUCAUUGCUGUUCUUACAAAUCUGAAUCUAUAUGUCUUCGGACUUAGAAUUUUGACCUCAGCUCAAGCAAGACUACCCGCUGAA